UUGCAAAGCUCACAAACUACUUUCUAUGUAUUGCCUUACUUCAGUCAACAAAAUCAUUAAGUUGGGUUUUUAUUUGUAAAAUUGCAUUUAUGAAUGUGAAAUUUGUUUAAAAAAUACACGUAAUGUAGGGUAUAAGAAAAAUAAGAAUGAGCCCAGGGAUAAGUCACUGUGAAUCUCGCGAGAGUUUUGCAGUACGACGGUUACCUUCGAGACACGAGCACGUGCUGGGCGUGUUGUCAAACGUACAGGUGCGCACUUCACUCUCUCCGCCUGUUCGCGUCAGAUUUUUGGCAGAAAAUUGCGGAAAUGCUACGUGGAUAAACUAUUACAAGCAAUCAGCGUUUCAUUACACCUAUUGAUGUUUGUUUAUGAGGAUUCCUCGGUCCUCUUCCUUGAAAUCGAAAAAAAGCAACCGAGGAAAUGUCUUUGGAAGGAAGCAUGUGUCAUCUAACCUGCCUCUGAAACACAAUGGGAACUCCCUGCCUUCUGUGGGACACCAGAGAACAAACUGCACACUGCCAAAAGCGUAGCUACAAAGACGACAACAGAAAUUAGGUCAAUACAGAGGCAUCUCCUGCUGAUCCUGCUAUAGAACAACUAGAUGUAGACAGAACUGUAAUAGUGUCUUGGGUGUUAUUAGAUUACAUUGUUGUGUGUAAUGGGGGAGUGUAUGUUGGACCAAUACGGUGAAGAUGGUUUUCAAAGUUGUGAAGGGUUUGACGAAUGGUCCACGUUCAGUUCUGCAGACUGGACAGAACCCCAGCACGAUGAAAAAGUGUUUUCAGACUUGGGCGGAUUCCAGGACAAAACCAGGAAAGAGGAAAUAUCAGCCAUACCUGUGACAGAAACAGGAACUUUCGAGUUUCCUGAAAACGCUGAAAAUGGCAACAAGGUGAAUCCCUGGUUCAUUUUUAAUGUCUGCUUUCAAGUUGAGGAGGAAAAGAAAAAUCCUGUCAUGAUGGAAAUCCCUACAUUGUCCCAGCUACAACAGAACACAUUAGACAAGCCCUCUCAGGCUGCAGCAAUAUCGAGCCAAGCUGCACAUUUCUGGUGUCAUCUACAAUCUGGGUCACAAAUUCUAAGACUGUCAGGUCCCAGACCCAAACUACACUCCCAUGAAGGACUGCUCAAAUCACUCCAGCUCAGACACCCCGAUGCAAGCGUCAACUCACAGACCACAACUCUUUCUGAUCUUGAACUAGAAAAUCCAGAAGACCCUCCUGGAGCUCUUAUUCAAACCAAGUUGACACCAUCAUCACAUUGUCGAAAUGCUCCAGGAUUCUUUUAUCAGAUCUCAAGCCAGUGGCUCAACCAGUACAGCAUGAACCUGCGGCCCAACCAGCACAAGAAAGAUCCUCUGCAAUAAACAAGACAUGUACACACACACACACACACACACACAGUACCACUCACUACCAGUCAUACCGACACACACUACUUCAAAAGAAAAGUUCACCCAAUAGAGAACAUUUUGUCAUAAUUUACUCAACCUCAUGUUCUGUUCUAAAUGCACUGAAAUUAACUACUAGUACAUUCUUCAAACUUUUUGAGAAAGAGUUUAGAAGUAAAUGAUGACAAUGUUCAUUUUUGGGUAAACUGUCUCUUUAAGCAAAGUACACACUGUUGCCUGUUUUCCUUAAUGUGUACACAAACAAGCACAGGUAAGGUCUUACACACACUUUCACAAAUAUAUCCUGCUUGACAAAAGCACAGGGACGUACUACUAUGCACACUCUCAGGAAAUAUUUCCUAACUUACUUGACAUACACACUUACUACUAACAUAAAGAAGAGGCUGUUAACAUGAGCGAAAGAACAGAACUAACAUGUGCCUAAUUAGAACAAAAUCACUGUAAACCUCAAGUACGGGAUGUUAACACAGCCAUAUACUUAUUUAUAUAUUCAACGGUCUGUUGCUGCCUAAGCUCAUUGCUUACUGUUCUUAAAGCUGUGUUAUUUUUAUUGUGAACUGACAUCUGAAAUGUCUGAAUGUAUUUGGUAUAUUUAUAUUGGAAAUAUUUAAACAAGAAUACAUGAAUAUACAGCUCUAAUAGUUUGUCCUGCACUUUAGAUCAGUUUGCCUUUUAUUAUUGUUUUUUAAAGGACUGAAAAAUCUAACUCAAAUGUUUAAUAAAAAAGAGAAGUUUAAAGCUCUUAA